UCAAGUCAAAACCGUUUCAAAGAAAGGCUGACUUCGGAGAUUCUGACCCCUGUACAAAUGUAACGAUACAAACGAUAAAAUGCCGUAAGCAAUGGUAUGGACUCCGGUAGGAUGACCGGCAGUAAAACAAAACUUCUGUGUAUGUCGACAAGCAAGAUACUCGUAACCAUACUCGAAGGAGCUGUAUAAGUUUACUGCUCGGCUUAAUUCGGUGGAGAAGGGUAAGAUGUCUGUUGCCGGACAGACUGCCGAAAGUUCUGAAGACAAGAAGCUGGCCCCAUGGCAGAGCCUGACUGUGCCACGCCAGGGCUGGGAAAGUGGGGCUGGGAGCUCAUUCCAUCACCCAGUAUGGAUUCCGGAACAUUCAGAGCUGAGCCAAAUUGGCAGGGCUACAGUCGGUCAGAAAGCCGCAUGAACCAGCACCCUAUUUUCCCGGGCCCAGAUCCAUCAGAACCGGCAUCUGGUCGGGUGAGUACUGAAUUGAGUGAACUGCCCACAGGUUCCUUGGGCAAGUGGACCGCCUCGCUGUUCUCCGGGUGGGAGGACGUUCGGGUUUUACGAGACACCCGGGAGUGCAGUGCACACACAAAAGCAUGUCGAGAGGGAGCCAGCGCACCGCGCCCUGUGUGGAGAGACCUGUGGCAGCGAGGCUCAGUUAAACUGGCAUGAGAUAAUUCACCAGGGGGAGCGGCCGCACUGCUGCCCACAGUGACCUGGGGCAACUUAAACUGCACAAAAUGUCAAAUGGUCACUGUAGCGAGUCCUGAUGUUCCUCUCCCCGCAAACCGCACCGUCCGCAGGUACGAGACGCACACGGGCGUAACUGUGCGCUUCAUCCGCGCGAAACGUGUACCGAAACGAACAAACGAAACACGCACAGCCUGCGAAGGGAACGAACGGCAUGUAGCUCCCGUGUGCGUCGCUCGUUCCCGAGCCCCGGUCCCACCGCAGGCAGAGCAGGUAAACGGCUGCCAGUCGCUGUAAUUGCCUACUGCUGUGGAAGCAGGCCAGCUAAAACGCUCCCUCGCCGCCUGCAGAUGGCGCCCUAACCGCACCACACCUCCUCAGUCACAAAAUGGAAAGACCUCACGGCUUCUGAGAAACGGUUCCGUUCUCUUAUCAAGCUCCCGUGUCACCGUCAGACUUGCAGGUCCAGACAGGGAGUACAGAUGCAUCCCCUGCUCCGGGGAUUUCAGCCAUCUAAAUGCUUUAAAAGCCCAUAUUAAACUUCACUCUUCUGAGAGACCCUUUGUUUUUGCACAGUGUGUGGGGACAGCUUCAAUCAGGCAGCUUACAAUACCUAUGAAGACACCAGCAGGUUCGCAGUGGAGCCAGGCCUUUCUGUUGUGCUUAUUGCGGUCAGUGACUCUGGGAUUCUUGGUGAAAAAUUGUACAGAUGCGCCUGGUGCAACAAAAUGUUUUGGAUAUUUAUACAGUCGAGCUACAUCAGAAGACUAAACUUGCAUUGGUUUAAUAGAUUUUUCUUGUUUAAUAAUACACUUUUAGUUUGGUAUGUAUACCACUAGAUGGCGAUCAAACCAUAUUGUCAGGAGGAAUUGUACAAUAAUAUUAAAGAUUCAUUCCUACUCUC